rnacentral:rRNA from 1 species
AUUGAACGCUGGCGGCAUGCUUUACACAUGCAAGUCGAACGGCAGCGCGGGCUUCGGCCUGGCGGCGAGUGGCGAACGGGUGAGUAAUGCAUCGGAACGUGCCGAGUAGGGGGGGAUAGCCCGGCGAAAGCCGGAUUAAUACCGCAUACGACCUGAGGGUGAAAGCGGGGGACCGAAAGGCCUCGCGCUAUUGGAGCGGCCGAUGUCGGAUUAGCUAGUUGGUGGGGUAAAGGCUUACCUAGGCGACGAUCCGUAGCUGGUCGGAGAGGACGACCAGCCACACUGGGACUGAGACACGGCCCAGACUCCUGCGGGAGGCAGCAGUGGGGAAUUUUGGACAAUGGGGGCAACCCUGAUCCAGCCAUGCCGCGUGCGGGAAGAAGGCCUUCGGGUUGUAAACCGCUUUUGUUCGGGAAGAAAUCCUCUGGGCUAAUACCCCGGGGGGAUGACGGUACCGGAAGAAUAAGCACCGGCUAACUACGUG